rnacentral:rRNA from 1 species
UACAGAGGUCCCAAGCGUUGUUCGGAUUCAUUGGGCGUAAAGGGUGCGUAGGCGGCGCGGUAAGUCGGGUGUGAAAGCCCCGGGCUCAGCCCGGGAAGUGCGCUCGAAACUGCGCGGCUCGAGUGCCGGAGGGGAGAGUGGAAUUCCUGGUGUAGCGGUGAAAUGCGUAGAUAUCAGGAGGAAUACCGGUGGCGAAAGCGACUCUCUGGACGGCAACUGACGCUGAGGCACGAAAGCGUGGGGAGCAAACAGG